rnacentral:rRNA from 1 species
CCUACGGGAGGCAGCAGUGAGGAAUAUUGGUCAAUGGGAGAGAUCCUGAACCAGCCAAGCCGCGUGAGGGAAGACGGCCCUAUGGGUUGUAAACCUCUUUUGUCGGAGAACAAAACCCGGUACGUGUCCCGGACUGCGUGUAUCCGAAGAAUAAGCAUCGGCUAACUCCGUGCCAGCAGCCGCGGUAAUACGGAGGAUGCGAGCGUUAUCCGGAUUUAUUGGGUUUAAGGGGUGCGUAGGCGGUCCGUUAAGUCGGUGGUAAAAUUGCGGGGCUAAACCCCGACGUGCAGUUGAAACUGGGAGACUUGAGUGGGGGAGAGGUACGCGGAAUGCGUGGUGUAGCGGUGAAAUGCUUAGAUAUCGCGAAGAACUCCGAUUGCGAAGGCAGCGUACCGGAGUGAGACUGACGCUGAGGCUCGAAAGUGUGGGGAUCGAACAGGAUUAGAUACCCUAGUAGUC